rnacentral:lncRNA from 1 species
CGAGAUCGUGACCUGGCUGAAGCCGGACGCUUAACCGACUGCGCCACCCAGGCGCCCCUGUCCUUGCUAUUUUAACAAGAGUGCAAGGGAGCAUUUAAUUUUAGUAGGAAAAGCUUAUCCUUGCUUCUUAUAGGGAAUAUUCAUUUACGUACCUUCCAAUUACCUAUUACAAAUAAUUAAUCAAAUGAUGUACUAUACUAAUAUAGUCUCAUUUUUCUCAUCCUUAUAAGUUAGUGAAAAAUACACAAAUGAAAACACCUCUGUUGGCAUAACAGAUUCACUGAGAAAUAAAAGCUUUCAAUCCGCACAUGCACACAAAAAAUCAGGAAAAACAUAGUGGCUCACAGGUAGAGUCAAUGCUUGUAAAGUAAACACAGGAUUUAUAUUUCAGAGUUUAAGAGGAAAAAAAUUAGUCAGUAUAUUCACAUGUCAAAUCCAUUUUUGUUUAAACAGACCGGGAAUGAGAUGACACUUAGAAGUGAAGUCUACAUUUACGAAGAACCAAAUGGGGUCCCAGCACACUAAAGGCGAUGUGGGGCCACUGACGUGUCUGAGGAGGAGAGUGAGCAGGCCAGAGCUGUGACUCCAGACAAAUACCUGGGCAGCCGCGUUCUCCAUAGCAUCGUGGGACAGAGACAGAAUAAGAGAAAAGAUACUUUAUAAGCUCAAGAAAUGAAGCACACUGCUCUUCUUCUCGGAUUUAUUACAUCUGCUGAGAAAGUCUUCACUGGCCUCCUUCUGGAACAGAGAUGCAGCGGAACCAAGGCUCAAGUAGUUAAAGAAGCCUUAGAUGACAUCCCUCCACAGAGAGAGGGACACGAAGAUUCAGAAACGAUAAACCGAGAGGUGAUGAGUCAACUCACAGAGCUACAUAAAUAUUGUAUAGUCUUAAUUGUUCCAGGAACUUAAAAUCUACGUGGAAGAAAAUCUUCUCUUCAUACAAAGUUUUACCAUGAACUGGACAAAUGCUUUGACCAAAUCCUGUAAGUGAAAAGAGUAGCUUCAAAUAACAGGGAGAUGAGAAAUUAGAUUUUUACAAAUGUUUGGUAUUGAAGUAUAGAGGAAAUGUAGUUUCGGGUGUACCACAUAGUGAUUCGACAAGUGCGUGCAUUAUGCAGUGCCUGUCACCACCUGUCACCAUACAAGACAUUGUUACAGUAUUGUGGGCUAUCUUCCCUACGCUGUACUUUUCAUUCCUGCGACUUAUUUUUUUAUUUAAAUUUUUUUAUGUUUAUUUAUUUUUGAGAGAGAGGAAGACAGAAUGCUAGCAGGGGAGUGACAGAGAGAGAGGGAGACACAGAAUCGGAAGCAGGCUCCAGGCUCUGUGUUGUCAGGGCCUGAUGCAGGGUUUGAAACUACAGGCUGUGACAUCAUGACCCGAGCCAAAGUUGAACGCUUAACCAACUGAACCACCCAGGUGC